GGAUGAACGCUAGCGGCAGGCUUAACACAUGCAAGUCGAGGGGUAUGUCGAUUUAUCGGCAGAGACCGGCGCACGGGUGCGUAACGCGUAUGCAAUCUGCCUUUCACAGAGGGAUAGCCCAGAGAAAUUUGGAUUAAUACCUCAUAGUAUUAUAGGAUGGCAUCAUUUUAUAAUUAAAGUCACAACGGUGAAAGAUGAGCAUGCGUCCCAUUAGCUAGUUGGUAAGGUAACGGCUUACCAAGGCAACGAUGGGUAGGGGUCCUGAGAGGGAGAUCCCCCACACUGGUACUGAGACACGGACCAGACUCCUACGGGAGGCAGCAGUGAGGAAUAUUGGUCAAUGGGCGCAAGCCUGAACCAGCCAUGCCGCGUGCAGGAUGACGGUCCUAUGGAUUGUAAACUGCUUUUGUACGAGAAGAAACCUCCCGACGUGUCGGGACUUGACGGUAUCGUAAGAAUAAGGAUCGGCUAACUCCGUGCCAGCAGCCGCGGUAAUACGGAGGAUCCAAGCGUUAUCCGGAAUCAUUGGGUUUAAAGGGUCCGUAGGCGGUUUAGUAAGUCAGUGGUGAAAGCCCAUCGCUCAACGGUGGAACGGCCAUUGAUACUGCUGAACUUGAAUUAUUAGGAAGUAACUAGAAUAUGUAGUGUAGCGGUGAAAUGCUUAGAUAUUACAUGGAAUACCAAUUGCGAAGGCAGGUUACUACUAAUUGAUUGACGCUGAUGGACGAAAGCGUGGGGAGCGAACAGGAUUAGAUACCCUGGUAGUCCACGCCGUAAACGAUGGAUACUAGCUGUUGGGAGCAAUCUCAGUGGCUAAGCGAAAGUGAUAAGUAUCCCA
rnacentral:rRNA from 1 species